rnacentral:rRNA from 1 species
UUGCGUCUGAUUAGCUAGUUGAAGUGGGGUAAAGGCCUAACCAAGGCAACGAUCAAUGUAGCUGGUCUGCGAGGGGAUGAGCAGCCACACUGGGACUGAGACACGGCCCAGACUCCUACGGGAGGCAGCAGUGGGGAAUUUUCCGCAAUGGGCGAAAGCCUGACGGAGCCAACGCCGCGCUGAGGGAGGAAGGUCUUUGGAUUGUAAACCUCUUUUACUCAAGGAAGAAGUUCUCGACGGUACUUGAGGAAUCAGCCUCGGCUAACUCCGUGCCAGCAGCCCAGCGGUAAUACGGGGGAGGCAAGCGGGUUAUCCGGAAUUAUUGGGCGUAAAGCGUCCGCAGGAUGGUCAGCCAAGUCUGCUGUCAAAUCAGGUUGCUUAACGAAACCUAAAGGCGGUGGAAACUGGCAAUGACUAGAGAGCAGUAGGGGUAGCAAGGAAUUCCCAGUGUAGCGGUGAAAUGCGUAGAGAUUGGGAAGAACAUCGGUGGCGAAAGCGUGCCUACUGGGCUUGUAUCUGACACUCAGGGACGAUAAAGCUAGGGGAGCGAAAAGGGAUUAGAUACCCCUGUAGUCCUAGCCGUAAACGAUGGAUUACUAGGCGUGGCUUGGUAUCGACCCGAGCCGUGCCGAAGCUAACGCGUUAAAGGUAUCCCGCCUGGGGAGUACGCACGCAAGUGUGAAAACUCAAAGGAAUUGACGGGGGCCCGCACAAGCGGUGGAGUAUGUGGUGUAAUUCGAUGCAACGCGAAGAACCUUACCAAGACUUGACAUGUCGCCGAACCCUGGUGAAAGCAUGGGGGUGCCUUCUGGGAGCGCGAACACAGGUGGUGCAUGGCUGUCGUCAGCUCGUGUCGUCGAGAUGUUGGGUUAAAGUCCCGCAACGAGCAAUAUCAACCCUCGUUCAUUAGUUGCCAGCAUUAAGUUGGGGACUCUAAGGAAGACUGCCGGUGACAAACCGGAGGAAGGUGGGGAUGACGUCAAGUCAGCAUGCCCCUUUACGUCUUGGGCGAAACACACGUACUACAAUGGUCGGGCCACAAAGGGCAGCGAACUCGCGAGAGCCAGCGAAUCCCAGCAAACCCGGCCUCAGUU